rnacentral:tRNA from 1 species
GCUCGGGUGGCGGAACUGGUUUACGCGCAUCACUUAAAAUGAUGUGUCCUUAACGGACGUGGGGGUUCGACUCCCCCCCCGAGCACCA